AGUCAUUACAUUGGACUGUUAGAUUAAGAAAUUCAUUAUCAAUAGUGUUUCAUAUUAUAAAUAAAAAAUUAUUCACUGGCAUAAAUAUCUCAACAAAAAUUAUUUAGAAGAAGUUAAGAGAUAUCAAAUCUUGAGGUGCUUAUAUAGUCUAAUUUGACAAAUUUAAUGAAUGUGCCUUGAGACUGAUAUGCAUUUGGCGCAUCGACACGUGCCAAAUUGAUACGGGACUCGAUAUUGUGGCAAGCCAUGCCUGCAACAAAGCCUGGAUCUGGGUGUGACUUUUCCCUGGUCCAAUUGCAUUUAUUCUCAUACCCAUUUGGAAAUUGCAACUACAAACUAUGAUUGGAAUCAAACCUUAGUGGAUGGCAUGCGUUAUACUUGAUGAAUUUUUGUGGUGUAAAAAGGCCUUUUCUAUCUAUUCUUUAAAUGCUAAUUCAUAUAUUUACUGAGUGUUACAAUUGUUGAACUUUAUUUUGUAUCCCUGUAAAGAGUAAUCUUAUUAAUCUUCUCUUGUUUUGAAAAUUUGAUCUGAUAUCUAGGUACCCUGAGCAAACAGAGGAGGAGAUUGCUAAGGCUUGUCCAUUUUGCCGUGGAAAUUGUAACUGCAAAGCAUGCCUACGCUGAGGAGGUCGUCUGGAGGUUCAAUGAAGGAAAUGGCAGAUGCUAACAAGAUUAGUUAUCUACAUCACUUGAUUUCCACGGACAUUCCGGUACUGACUAAAAUUAAGGAUGAACAGAAGGUGAAACAGGAGAUGGAGGCUAGAAUUCAAGGCAUUAUUGGCAGAAAGCCUGGAUAGUCCUUGUGCAGAAAUUUGUUCAGAUGAGUGCCUUUAUUGUACAUCUAUUGUAGAUUUGCAUGGACGCUGUCCAGAUUGCUCUUAUGAUCUUUGACUCAGUUGUUGUUGUGAGUUACGAGAAGGCUGCCAGCCUGGCGGUGAUGAAGCUCAGUCAUCCCAACAGCAGUCCAUGAAGAGAGUGUGUACAGAGAAUAUGAAAACAGAAACAUCAAAAGGAAGAAUGGGUUUGACACUGUAGUUACAAUCCCCAAAUAGUUACUCUGUAAAUUUACAUCAGCCCUUAGCUGAUUGGAAAGCAAGGAUGGUUCUAUUUCAUGCCCUCCUAAAGUGGAUGGUGGUUGUGGAAGUAAAGUUUUGAACCUAAAGAGCAUCUUUGGCUUAUAUUGGGUUCCAGAUCUCUUGAGAAACGCAUAGGAAACUCACAUUUGUGGGCUUCCAAAGUCAUUAAAAAUGUCUCAUCCAUGUUCUUUGUGCUCUAAGCCUGAUUCUCAACACAUUAGUAAGUUCACUUUUAAGUUAUGGCAUGCCUGAUGCACAGGGGAUGCCAGCAAUGACUUUUUGUAUUGCCCUACUGCUCAGGAAUCCAGGAUUUAAAGGAAAAGAGUCUUCAGUAUUUUCAGCAACACUGGGCAAAGGGUGAACCUGUGGUUGUUCGGAAUGUUCUAUAAGAUACAUCAGGUCUAAGUUGGGAGCCAAUGGUUAUGUGACAAGCUUUCAGGGAGACUACCUGUUGAUGUGUGUUUUAUGCACAUAACAUUUCAGAAUAAAAUACCAAAAUAAUUUACCCUCUCUUGAACAAAAUCACCUCAGAUGCUAAGGGUAAGAUCAACUAAAAAGAUU